CCAAUUCACCCAAUCACUGUUGUGUGUAGUUUGGACCUAAAAGAGAUUUUUUUGUUGGUGAUUCUUCUUUCUUUCUUCCCCGAGCUAUGGUUAUGGUGUCUGUUGACACUUCACACUGCUCAAAGAGGAAGGAACAAGAAGAAAACAAGGAAAUUGCAGAGAGAGAGAGAGAGAGAGAGAGAUAAGUCAGAGAUCGCAGAUGCACACUGUCCAUCCAAAGUAGAAAAAUUUUGAGAAACAAAGGAGGUUUGUGGCCUUGUCAUCCAUGGUUAGUUGCACAUUGGGAAUAUCUCUCUUGUUCCGGAUCAGGUACGUAGCUACGCACAGCAGCUGGUUUCCAACACCACUACAGCAGCUGCUCUGUUCUUUCAUGCAUGCAGAGCUCUGAUCAGUUUUUGAAAUUAUCUCCUCUAAUUAACUCUAAGAAAUGAUCUCAACUUCUGGGUUCUUGGACACUACACUAACUGAUCAAUGUGGUAUCUCUAAGGAACUUUUCGUUUUCAUCCUCAAGAUGUCAGCUGCUCAAGUAUCAAACUUCCAGGUUGGCCAAAGUCAGAACUUACAAAGUUCAACCAUUAUGUUAAGUGGAUUUGCAUUGGAAGACGUGCUACAUUAUCUGAGAAAGUGAUUUUUUUAAAAUUCCUUGUACUUUUAUAUGUCAAUUGGAU